rnacentral:tmRNA from 1 species
GGGGGUGACCGGUUUUGACGGUCUUGUACUUUGAAAGACGUGCGACGCGAUGGAAGCUUGCUGACCAUCUAAAAACACAAGCACCAAUACGUGCAAACACUACUGUUGCACGCGCAAAGAGCAUCCUCUCACCUUUUCAGAUGAAGGACUUUGCGUUCGCCUACGCUCGCGCUUAAACGCCCCAGUGUAGUCGACGUCUCACCAUCUCCGGUUUCUGUAGCGGGAUGAUGGGGCGGAAUCUUCUACAGAAUCGAUAUCAGCUCGCCUUGACUGCGUAUCUAAAUUAAGAGGCUCGGACAGAUGAGGCUUAGUCUUCAUUCCUACUCACUGUCGACACCCGAAAAAAGACUACGCGUCGUAGACUCGCUUUCAAAGCUCGAUUCGGACGGGGAUUCAAUUUCCCCCACCUCCACAA